rnacentral:sRNA from 1 species
CUGAUGCCCUGUCUCUUUCCCCAGAUCGGGCCCAGCACAGGCAGCGUCAGUGCAAACUUCCCCCACCCCGCCUUCCACCCAUGUGUGUCAACCCUGCCCCUGGAGGGACCAUCUCUCGAGGUAAGGGAGGAGCCAUGCCUCCAGCAACAGCUUGG